CCUACGGGAGGCAGCAGUGGGGAAUAUUGCACAAUGGGGGAAACCCUGAUGCAGCGCCGCCGCGUGAGUGAAGAAGUAAUUCGUUAUGUAAAGCUCUAUCAGCAGGGAAGAAAAUGACGGUACCUGAGUAAGAAGCCCCGGCUAACUACGUGCCAGCAGCCGCGGUAAUACGUAGGUGGCCAGCGUUAUCCGGAUUUACUGGGUGUAACGGGGGCGUAGACGGCAGUGCAAGUCUGGAGUGAAAGGCGGGGGCUCAACCCCCGGACUGCUCUGGAAACUGUACGGCUGGAGGGCAGGAGAGGGAAGUGGAAUUCCUAGUGUAGCGGUGAAAUGCGUAGAUAUUAGGAGGAACACCAGUGGCGAAGGCGGCUUACUGGACUGUAACUGACGUUGAGGCUCGAAAGCGUGGGGAGCAAACAGGAUUAGAUACCCGGGUAGUC
rnacentral:rRNA from 1 species